rnacentral:rRNA from 1 species
GAGUUUGAUCCUGGCUCAGGAUGAACGCUGGCGGCGUGCUUAACACAUGCAAGUCGAACGAACCUUCGGGUUAGUGGCGGACGGGUGAGUAACGCGUGAGAAUCUGCCCUCAGGAGGGGGAUAACGGUUGGAAACGACCGCUAAUACCCCAUAUGCCGCGAGGUGAAAUGAAUUUCGCCUGAGGAUGAGCUCGCGUCUGAUUAGCUAGUUGGUGGGGUAAAGGCCUACCAAGGCAUCGAUCAGUAGCUGGUCUGAGAGGAUGAUCAGCCACACUGGGACUGAGACACGGCCCAGACUCCUACGGGAGGCAGCAGUGGGGAAUUUUCCGCAAUGGGCGAAAGCCUGACGGAGCAACGCCGCGUGAGGGAUGAAGGCCUCUGGGCUGUAAACCUCUUUUAUCAAGGAAGAAGAUCUGACGGUACUUGAUGAAUAAGCCACGGCUAAUUCCGUGCCAGCAGCCGCGGUAAUACGGGAGUGGCAAGCGUUAUCCGGAAUUAUUGGGCGUAAAGCGUCCGCAGGCGGCCCUUCAAGUCUGCUGUUAAAAAGUGGAGCUUAACUCCAUCAUGGCAGUGGAAACUGUUGGGCUUGAGUGUGGUAGGGGCAGAGGGAAUUCCCGGUGUAGCGGUGAAAUGCGUAGAUAUCGGGAAGAACACCAGUGGCGAAGGCGCUCUGCUGGGCCAUCACUGACGCUCAUGGACGAAAGCCAGGGGAGCGAAAGGGAUUAGAUACCCCUGUAGUCCUGGCCGUAAACGAUGAACACUAGGUGUCGGGGGAAUCGACCCCCUCGGUGUCGUAGCCAACGCGUUAAGUGUUCCGCCUGGGGAGUACGCACGCAAGUGUGAAACUCAAAGGAAUUGACGGGGGCCCGCACAAGCGGUGGAGUAUGUGGUUUAAUUCGAUGCAACGCGAAGAACCUUACCAGGGUUUGACAUCCUGCGAAUCUCUUGGAAACGAGAGAGUGCCUUCGGGAACGCAGUGACAGGUGGUGCAUGGCUGUCGUCAGCUCGUGUCGUGAGAUGUUGGGUUAAGUCCCGCAACGAGCGCAACCCACGUCUUUAGUUGCCAGCAUUUAGUUGGGCACUCUAGAGAGACCGCCGGUGAUAAACCGGAGGAAGGUGUGGAUGACGUCAAGUCAUCAUGCCCCUUACAUCCUGGGCUACACACGUACUACAAUGCUACGGACAAAGGGCAGCAAGUUCGCGAGGACAAGCAAAUCCCAUAAACCGUGGCUCAGUUCAGAUCGUAGGCUGCAACUCGCCUACGUGAAGGAGGAAUCGCUAGUAAUCGCAGGUCAGCAUACUGCGGUGAAUACGUUCCCGGGCCUUGUACACACCGCCCGUCACACCAUGGAAGUUGGCCACGCCCGAAGCCGUUACUCCAACCCUCGGGAGGAGGACGUCGAAGGUGGGGCUGAUGACUGGGGUGAAGUCGUAACAAGGUAUCCGUACCGGAAGGUGCGGAUGGAUCACC